AUUGAACGCUGGCGGCCGGCCUAACACAUGCAAGUCGAACGAGUGGCGGACGGGUGAGUAAUGUCUGGGAAACUGCCUGAUGGAGGGGAAUAACUACUGGAAACGGUAGCUAAUACCGCAUACCAUCGGAUGUGCCCAGAUGGGAUUCGCUAGUAGGUGGGGUAACGGCUCACCUAGGAGACGAUCCCUAGCUGGUCUGAGAGGAUGGCCAGCCACACGGGAAAGUAGAACAGGUCCAGACGCCGACGGGAGGCAGCAGUGGGGAAUAGUGCACAAUGGGAGCAAGCCUUAUGCAGCCAUGCCGGGUGUAUGAAGAAGGGCGUCGGGUUGUAAAGGACUUUCAGCGGGGAGGCGUUACCCGCAGAAGAAGCACCGGCUAACUCCGUGCCAGCAGCCGCGGUAAUAC
rnacentral:rRNA from 1 species